rnacentral:rRNA from 1 species
GACGAACGCUGGCGGCGUGCCUAAUACAUGCAAGUAGAACGCUGAAGGAGGAGCUUGCUUCUCCGGAUGAGUUGCGAACGGGUGAGUAACGCGUAGGUAACCUGCCUGGUAGCGGGGGAUAACGAUUGGAAACGAUAGCUAAUACCGCAUAAGAGUAGAUGUCGCAUGACAUUUGCUUAAAAGGUGCAAAUACACCACUACCAGACACACCUGCGUUGUAUUAGCUAGUUGGUGAGGUAACGGCUCACCAAGGCAACGAUACAUAGCCGACCUGAGAGGGUGAUCGGCCACACUGGGACUGAGACACGGCCCAGACUCCUACGGGAGGCAGCAGUAGGGAAUCUUCGGCAAUGGACGGAAGUCUGACCGAGCAACGCCGCGUGAGUGAAGAAGGUUUUCGGAUCGUAAAGCUCUGUUGUAAGAGAAGAACGAGUGUGAGAGUGGAAAGUUCACACUGUGACGGUAUCUUACCAGAAAGGGACGGCUAACUACGUG